CUCGCAAGAGUGAACAAGCUAACUGAAAUCACAUACGUGUGAUAAGGUAGAGUAGUAUCAUGACUUAAAUCUACUAUUAGUGUCGUCUAAAACUGGUGCCAGAAGACUCGGUAAGACCCGAGACGCGAACGUUAGUCAUCAUGAAUGGGCAUAAAGGGUUUGUAGGCUGCUUCGAAAGACUUAAGGAUUGAAAAAUGCUUAGGUCGUAAUUGAAGAUAGAAUCAAAUAGAGGUUAAGAUAAUACUUAGAGUAAGGUUGACAUCCACAGAAACUAAGGGGAAUACUAGAUGCGAAGGCUCUUUUCCAGGAAAAAUAAAUAAAUUAUUAUUGAUUGACGCUGAGACACGAAGGUGCGGAUAGGAAAUAGGAUUAGAUACCCUGGUACCCCACACUGUAAACGAUGAAUGGAAGGUGCUUAUCCGAUUUGGAAUAAGUGCCGAUGUGAAACACGAUUACCAUUCCGCCUUGCCAGUAUACUUGCAAAAGUGAAAACAAAAAAAUUAGUCGGUCUUAAAGCAAACG
rnacentral:rRNA from 1 species